GUUAGGUAACCUCAGGCACAUUCGAGCGUAAAUAUUAAGCGAGAAAGUCUAGUGGAACGAUGCAGGGUUCAUUGGGUUUGUUUACAAAAAUUCAAGCAUCCGGUUAAGAAGACGACAAAUAAGAAUGGUAUUAAGUUGUUAGAAUGGAACUCCUUCCUGAUUCCUGCACAUGUAAGUUACCAGAUACUCUUGAGGGACCAAUUUAAGGGCAAACAGACAAACAUUUUGAUGCAAAGAAAGCAUUGGAUUUGAAAGUUCCCAUGGAGAAGAAAAAUGGAGAGAUUCUAAAAGUAUGAAGAUACUCCUGUGUAUAAUGAGGAAAUCUUGUCAGUGAAUGUUGUUGCAAUUGUGGACCAGGCCAGAGUUGUACUAAACCAACUAAGACACAAUGAGAUACAGGAAUGACACAAUGAGAAACAGGAAACAGGAAAGUGAUGACUGAUCGCCACCUGUUACAAAUUCAUCUAGAAAACUCCCCACAUCCAACAAGAGACAGUCUGACUUCAAAAUCUUCAUUGAAGGCAACUUAAUGGACAAGACAUCCGUCACAUAAAGAUUCACUAAAAUUGGAAUGAUAUACCAAUUUUAACUUUUAACAGACAAAUACAUUAUAGAUUUGAAAAUAUAUUACCCUUAAAUAAGUUGGAUGAUUAACAUUUACCUCAACACAGUACAAAGUGCUCAUGUUGAACUAUUGUGAUUGAUCAUAGUCUGUCCUUCAUUUUUAUUAACAGUUUCAUACAGUGUUAACACUUUAGUAUGGGGACUCAUUUUUAGCUCAACUUUUCGAAGAAUAUGGAGAGCUAUACUACUCACCCAAGCGUCCGCGUCGGCGUCACCCCUUGGUUAAGGGUUUGCGUGCAAGCACACAUAGGUUAAUAUCUCAGCAACUACUUGAGGUAUUGCAUUGAGACUUUAUACAAUGGUACUCAACCAUCCAACCUACUUAAUUAACCAAGUUUGAUAACUCUACUUUGCAUUUAAUGCCAAUAAUAGGCCUUUAAUAUUUGACUUAGAAAUUCUGGUUAAGGUUUUGCAUGCAAGCACACAUAGGUUAAUAUCUCAGAAACUACUUGAGGUAUUGCAUUGAGACUUGAUACAAUGGUACUCAACCAUCCAACCUACUUAUUUAAACAAGUAAGAUAACUCUAGUUUGCAUUUAAUGUAAAUAAUAGGCCUUUAUUAUUUGACUUAGAAAUUCUGGUUAAGGUUUUGCAUGCAAGCACACAUAGGUUAAUAUCUCAGCAACUGCUUGAGGUAUUGCAUUGAGACUUGAUACAAUGGUACUCAACCAUCCAACCUACUUAUUUAAACAAGUAAGAUAACUCUAGUUUGCUUUUAAUGUAAAUAAUAGGCCUUUAUUAUUUGACUUAGAAAUUCUGGUUAAGGUUUUGCAUGCAAGCACACAUAGGUUAAUAUCUCAGCAACUGCUUGAGGUAUUGCAUUGAGACUUGAUACAAUGGUACUCAACCAUCCAACCUACUUAAUUUUCCAAGUUAUAUAACUAUAGUUUGCAUUUAAUGCAAAUACUUGCGUUUAUUAUUUCACUCAGAAAUUCUGGUUAAGGUUUUGCAUGUAAGCACACAUAGGUUAAUAUCUCAGCAACUACUGGAUGAAUUGCAUUGAGACUUUAUACAACCACCCAACCUAAUUGAAUAAUCAAGUUAGAUAAAAAUUCUGGUUAAAAUUUUGCAUGUAACUACAUUUAUGUUAAUAUCUCCGCACAUCAUGUAUUGCAUUGAAAUCUAAUCUAACAGUGAUCCAUGCAUGUUUCGCCAAAACUUCUUAAUCCUUACACUGAAAAGCAGCGGAAUAGUCGAGAGCGCUGUCUCUGUGACAGCUCUUGUCUCUUUGGUCUUUAUUCAUACUGGCCAGAAUAUGUUUACCAAAAAAAUCUUAGUAUAGAUUGAUAACUGUUCAGGUUGGACAAAAAGCAUGUAGGUUGUUUGUUCUAAUAAUAUAAACUGUAAAUGCUUCAGAAACUAUAUAUAUAAUUUUCAUGAUAUUUGUCAGUAUUUAUUCUCGUCAACAUUUAAAUAAUAUUAGGUGAAACUUGUUUAUUGGUCAAAAUGUGUUUGAUUAGAGUGGCCUCAAGUUCCACUUUAUAUGAAUGAAAUUUGGUCAAGUUUUAGAAAAAAACUAUGUUCUAGUUUUAUAGGCCAUAUUCUCUUCCCAAGCUUUCCUUAAAGAAUGAAUGUAGGUAAUAUGAAACAGGAGUCACUAAGUCAAGAAUUAACAACCUUAAAAAUUGCUAUUCAUAGAGGUAUUGUUUCCUCAUCAUAAAUCACAACUUAGCCAGCAAGACUUUUCAACAAAUAAGGCAUAACAUGUAAAAAGUUAAUAAUUAGGCACAUAUUUUAGUGAAUAAAAUCUUGUGAACAUAUUAUUGAAACAAAUAAUGUGUCUGGUUCUGAGGUGAGCUAUAAAGCACAUUGCCUAGUAACAAUUGAGCUAGCUCAUUAUUAAAAGUUUGUUUUAAACUUGAUUUAAAUGAAUGCAAAUCAUAUAUUAUUAUUUUUAAUCUAUAUUUUUUUUUUAGUUACCUUGUUCUGUUGUUAAUUUCCAUACUGACUUGGUCAAUUAUGGCUAAUUGUCUAACUAUAUUUUAACUUCUAACCUAAAUGUUUCAUUGUACUUUUGAGUGUUCUGUUAACUAUAUUGCACAUUACCCUAUAUGACAGUAUAAAUUCAAUAAAACCAUGGUUAUUAAGUUCCAUACAUAUUGGAGCACAUGGUAAGCCUCUAGAAAUGUCACUUCUUAAACCUAGAUUCUUGAUCUGUUCGCCACAUUGUUUUGUUAAUUUUUUGUUUAUAAAAACAAAUGAUUGUUUAAUGUCAAGGAAACCUUUUUAAAGUUAAAAUGUAGAUGUACAUAGAUAACUGUCAAAUAUUAUUUACCAUUUAAUAACUGUCUAAAGGCAAAAUUUCCAUUCAUUUUUAUAUUUGAUUUGGGUCCCUAGGGUCAUGGUCACUGUAACUAAAAAUAGAAAAAUGCUUGGUACUGAAUAACUUCAGUUUUAAUACAUUUAAAACUGAAUCUCACAAUCAAGGCUGAAGUUCUUGUUGCAUUGCAGCAUUUCUAGUUAACUUUUUAAUUUGACUCUUUUUAUUGCUUUCGACAGGCACAUAUUACAUCAUUAUUGUAUUCAUUUUGAAGACAAAGCCUCAUUUAAUUGAGCGUGCUGUCCAAAGACAGCUCUUGUUGACAUAAUUAUAAGACACCUUAUGUUAUGGUUUAUAUGAACAAUAGCUGUUUCUGUGUAUGUUUUAGAAGAAACUUCCAUUUCUUAUCAUAUUGAUGGACAUAGAUAUACAUACAUGUACGGAAUUAUUGACAUCAGAUUCUUAGGAUUAAAUUUACUAAUGUUCUGUUCAUGUUCAAAAUAGAUACAGUUAUGGUAAAUG